rnacentral:rRNA from 1 species
UACGUAGGUGGCGAGCGUUGUCCGGAUUUACUGGGCGUAAAGGGAGCGUAGGCGGACUUUUAAGUGAGAUGUGAAAUACCCGGGCUCAACUUGGGUGCUGCAUUUCAAACUGGAAGUCUAGAGUGCAGGAGAGGAGAAUGGAAUUCCUAGUGUAGCGGUGAAAUGCGUAGAGAUUAGGAAGAACAUCAGUGGCGAAGGCGAUUCUCUGGACUGUAACUGACGCUGAGGCUCGAAAGCAUGGGUAGCAAACAGGAUUAGA